CUCAGGAUGUCUAUCACUGCUGCUACACACUCAGGAAGCAAACUGGAAUGUUCCAUCACUGCUGUUCUUCUCUAACUACCUGCACAAGACCAGCAUUUUGGACAUUGCACAAGCCUACCUCACCCGGAUCUGCAGCAGGCAAAAAAAGGCUUUGGAUUGGACAAUGUUGUUCCCUGCUGUGACCUGGUUCCUGUUGGUAGCAGGGAUGUUGAGUGUCUGGGCUCAGGACUACUAUGAAGAGAGAACAGUGAACAAGAGACCCAGGGGCAGGGGGGCCCAACUGCAAGCUCCAGCCAUUGCAACUAACGUGCAAAAACAUAAUGGACAAGCCAUUUUAGAUGAGGACUGCGGUCUGGAGCUUACCUUUCUGCUGGACAGCUCUGAGAGUGCCAAGGAGAACCAUGAGCAGGAGAAGCGCUUUGCCAUGGAUGUGGUGGACAGGCUCCAGGCCGCCCGUCUGCAGACCGGGCGCAGUCUGAGCUGGAAGGCGGCCCUGCUGCAGUACAGCAGUCACGUCAUCAUCGAGCAGACCUUCAAGCAGUGGAAGGGCACCGACAACUUCAAGUCCCACAUCACCCCCAUUGUCUACAUCGGCCACGGCACCUACACCACCUACGCCAUCACCAACAUGACCAAAAUGUACCUGGAGGAGUCCAGCCCAGGCAACAUCAAGGUGGCCAUGCUGCUCACUGACGGCAUCUCCCACCCCAGGAACCCAGACAUCUUCUCAGCUGCCGCUGACGCCAAGAACCAGGGGGUGAAGUUCUUCACGGUGGGCAUCACCCGUGCAGCCAACGAGUCAGCCAACGUGGCCCAGCUGAGUUUGUUGGCCAGUUCUCCUGCCUCCCGAUACCUCCACAACCUGCAGGAUAUUGACAUUGUGGAGAAAGUCCUCAAAGAAAUUACUUACCUGGCUGAUGAAGGGUGUCCCCCGGCCCAACAAUGUGCCUGUGAGAAGGGCGAAAGAGGACUCAGUGGCUUAGCCGGGAAGAAGGGUCGCCCUGGAGAUGAUGGAGCCCCUGGUCUCAAAGGAUUGAAGGGAGAGGGAGGACUAAGUGGACUUCCAGGUCGGGAUGGCGGAGAAGGAAAAUCUGGUUACAAAGGAGAGAGGGGUGAGAGAGGCGAGUGUGGCACUCCAGGAAUUAAAGGGGACAGGGGUCCUGAGGGCCCAAUGGGCACCAGAGGAGUCAGAGGUCUCCAGGGUUUACCCGGUCCACAGGGUGACGUUGGACCUGAGGGCCCUCAGGGUAAUAAGGGUGAUCGGGGUCAAGCUGGCCCGGCCGGAAUUCAGGGAGUAAAUGGUAUUGGACUUCCUGGACCAAAGGGUGAUCUGGGAUUCCAGGGAAAACCCGGCCCCCCUGGUCCGACAGGGUUGAGUGAAUAUGGCCAGCCAGGGCCUCAAGGGCCACAAGGUUUUCAAGGGGAGAAAGGACCCCACGGAGAGGGGCUCCCUGGGCCAAAGGGAGACCGGGGGCUGGCCGGACCGAGGGGGCCAAGAGGACAGACGGGUGCAGGAAUCAAAGGAGAAAAGGGUGAGUUCGGGCCUCCAGGUCAUCCAGGACUUGUUGGACUUACAGGAGCGGGCAUCCAGGGGGAGAAGGGAGUGGAGGGUCCCAGAGGUCCACCUGGAGGCAGAGGACCUCAAGGAGAGGGCUUACCUGGACCUAAGGGUGAUCAAGGUUUCCCUGGAGAGCUCGGAGCUACAGGGGAGAGAGGUGUUGGUGAGCCAGGGCCAAAGGGUGAGCUUGGUACAUCUGGCCUGGCUGGCUUACCUGGUCUUCCAGGCGAGGACGGGGCUCCAGGACAGAAGGGUGAGGCAGGUGUAGCUGGUAUAAGAGGUCCUGAUGGAGCAGCAGGGAUCGGCACCCAGGGCGAGAAGGGAGACCAGGGUCAGAGGGGCAUCCGUGGAUUACAUGGACCUCCUGGCAUGACCGGACCCUCAGGGGCAAAGGGGGAGCCUGGCACACCAGGCCGACUGGGCAUGCCAGGACUACCGGGACGGGCCAUUGCAGGUCCCAAGGGUGAUCUAGGCCCACCUGGUCCCUCUGGGCCGACUGGAGAGACAGGCUAUGGGCUACCUGGGCCAAAGGGUGACCGUGGUCAUCCUGGUCCAUCAGGACCUUUUGGAUCCAAAGGGGAAGGUUUCCCUGGUCCAGUGGGUCCUCCAGGCCUUCCAGGUCUACAGGGAGAGCAGGGACCUGAGGGCAUUGGCAUCCCAGGACCUAAGGGAGACAUUGGCUUCAGAGGAUUGCCAGGUUUGCCAGGCCCAAAAGGAAAGGGUGUGCAAGGACCACCGGGUAACAUUGGAAGGAAAGGACCCCCUGGUCCAAAUGGGCCCCCAGGGGAAGGUCUGCAGGGCCCCAAGGGUGAGCAGGGGUCUCAGGGUGUGACAGGGCCAAGGGGACCCAUAGGGGAAGGAUUCCCAGGAGGUAAGGGUGACCGUGGCUUGCAGGGUGAGAGAGGAAAUAAGGGUGUAAAGGGGGGCAUGGGAGAUUCUGGGGUUCCUGGAGAGUCUGGGAGGCCAGGAGUAAAGGGUGAAGUGGGGCUUACAAGAGAAGACAUCAUUAAAUUGAUCAAGGAAUUAUGUGGAUGUGGAAUCAAGUGCAAGGAGAGGCCAAUGGAGCUUGUAUUCGUCAUUGACAGCUCAGAGAGCGUUGGUCCGGAAAACUUUGAAAUCAUCAAGGACUUCGUCACAGCGCUGGUGGACCGUACCACUGUUGGACGUAACGCCACCAGAAUUGGAUUAGUCCUGUACAGUCUGGAUGUCCACCUGGAGUUCAAUCUGGCGCGCUACAUGACCAAACAAGAUGUCAAGCAGGCCAUCAGGAAGAUGUCCUACGUGGGUGAGGGAACCUAUACUAGCACCGCCAUCCGGAAGGCUACCCAGGAGGCCUUCUACAGUGCCCGUACUGGGGUUAGGAAAGUGGCCAUUGUUAUCACAGAUGGACAGACAGACAAACGAGAGCCUGUGAAGCUGGACAUUGCUGUGAGGGAGGCCCAUGCUGCCAACAUUGAGAUGUAUGCCCUGGGGAUUGUCAACACCUCAGAUACAACCCAGGCCGGGUUCCUGCGUGAACUAAAUCUGAUCGCCUCUGACCCUGACAGUGAACAUAUGUACCUCAUCGACGAUUUCAACACUCUACCAGCUCUGGAGUCAAAGCUUGUUAGCCAGUUCUGUGAGGAUGAGAAUGGAGCCCUUGUGUUGAAUCGCAACACUAAUGGCUUUGGAAGAAAUGGGAACAACGGCUAUGGGAACAACGGACAGGGGAAUAGCGGACAGGGGAAUAACGGACAGGGGAAUAACGGACAGGGGAAUAACGGACAGGGGAAUAACGGACAGGGGAAUAACGGACAGGGGAAUAACGGACAGGGAAUAACGGACAGGGGAAUAACGGACAGGGGAAUAACGGACAGGGGAAUAACGGACAGGGGAAUAACGGACAGGGGAAUAAUGAACAUGGAAACAACUAUAAUGAGGAUCCUAUCCUAAAUCCAAGUGGACGCACCAGUUCCCAGAGUCACAUCAGAGGCCGUGGAGAUAACUUUGUUCUGCCCCUCAAUGCUGGACCACUCCCAGUGCAGGUGGAUGAUGAAGAGGGUGAAGAUUUAGACGUCAGGACCUACGUGCGAGGAGGUAGUACUGUGGCUGAAGCUAACGAAACAGUAUCCAUCUUCCCUGCAAAGGAAAGCUCCCACUCCAACACAGCUGUCUCGUCAUCAGGAUCAGCAUCAGCAUCCUCAGGAACAACAGGUUCAGCUUCAUCAUCCAGCGAGGGCCAAUUUCAGCCUGUAUCAAUUCCUAUCCCUAAUUCUAUUUCCCCCCAAGAGUCCGUCUCGCUCAAUCCCCGCUGUAACCUGAGUUUGGACCAAGGCACCUGUCAAGAGUACAACAUCCAGUGGUAUUACGACAAACAGGCCAAUUCCUGUGCCCAGUUCUGGUAUGGAAGCUGUGAAGGAAAUGCCAACCGCUUUGAGACAGAGGAUGUGUGUAAGAAGACCUGUGUUCUAUCUAGAACAGCGGGUUAAAACAGGCAGAUGAUCAAUCAACUCAUCAGAACAAUCUGCCAUGGAACCAACUAAGCAAAGUGCAGAGGAUGUUUAAUAAUAGUGUACUACUGAUAUUUAAAAAUGGUAUAUUUACAACAGGCAUUUUAUCAUUGGAAAUAGCGUUAUUUUUGCAGCUCUCUGUGUCUCUCUCUCUUGAGGUGUAGAGAAUAAGGGAAGGACAUGCCACUUCUAGAUUUCAUGAAGUUGCCUUUCUUUUCAGAUGUAUGGUUAUCUGUGGACUUUAUUUACAGAAGUCUGAAUUUGUGAAGAAAAUAUAACGUUGCUAUGGUAACUGUUUCAUUACAUUUGAAAAGUGAUCCUAUACCUUACUCUUAUUAUAUUGAUGUUGGAUUAACUAAUCCAUUCAAUACCUCAAUGUUACUCAACCGUAAGCUGUACUGAACAAAGGGGAUAGUUUCAAGCCCAGCGUUUGUCAUUUCAGGUUUACCUGAGAAAAACAUCACACAAUACAAUUCUCAUACCUCUUAGCCAUAAGCACAUUGUGCUGCCAUUAUGCUGUCCCACAAUAUCGUUUUAUAAUAUAGGGAUAGUCUUCUAGAAUACAUUAUUUUUUUUUAGUAUACGUCUGAAUUCAGUAAUUGUAUUUUAAAGCAAACUAAAUUAAAUAGGUGCUGUAAUUAUUUUUCUUGUUUGUUUAAUGAUAUGUAUUCGUCCGUUUUAGGGUCACACAUGCCAGGCCUAUAAGUGACAAUAUGCAACUUCACCUAUGUAUUUUUCUUCCAAAGUGUUUUGGGAAAUCGCACGUUGCUGUUGAUGAAAAAGCUAACUUUGAAAUGAAUCACAUUUUUUACAUGUGUACUGGUUUUGAUGAUUUUGUUUUGUAUUUGUUUUUAUUGAUUGAAAAAGGAUAGAUAGAUAGAUAGAUAGAUAGAUAGAUAGAUAGAUAGAUAGAUAGAUAGAUAGAUAGAUAGAUAGAUAGAUAGAUAGAUAGAUAGAUAGAUAGACAGACAACUUCACAAAACAGUGGGAAGCUUUGGAGUCACCAUGGGCCAGCAUCCCUGUAGAACACCUUUUAGCGUCCAUGCCCUGACGAAUUGAGGCUGUUCUGGAGGCAAAAGAGGGUGCAACUCAAUAUUAGAAAGGGGUUCCUAAUGUUUUGUACACUCAGUGUAUUUGGCCUUGUGUUUUAGGUUGUUUUCCUGCUGAAAGGUGAAUUUGUCUCCCUGUGUCUGUUGGAAAGCAGACUGAACCACGCUUUCCUCUAGGACUUGCCUGUGCUUAGCUAUAUUCCUUUUCUUUUUAUCCUAAAAAGCUCCCUGGUCCUUGCUGAUGACAAGCAUCCUCAUAACAUGAUGUAGAACCACCAUGCUUGAAAAUAUGAAAAGUGGUACUCAGUGAUGGACUGUAUUAGAUUUGCCCCAAACAUAAUGCUUUGUAUUGAGGUCAAAACGUACAUUUCUUUGCCACAUGUUUUGCAGUGUUACUUUAAUGCCUUAUUGCAAACAGGAUGCAUAUAUUUGAAUAUUUUUAUUCUGUUCAGGCUUCCUUCUUUUCAUUCUGUAAUUUAGGUUAUUAUUGUGGAGUAACUACAUUGUUGUUGAUCCAUCACCAUCUCCUUUUAAAAUCACCAUUGGUAUCAUGGUGACAUCCCUGAGCGGUUUCCUUCCUCUCCGUCAACUGAGUUAGGAAGGACGCCUGUAUCUUUGUAGUGACUGGGUGUAUUGAUGCACCAUCAAAAGUGUAAUUAAUAACUUCACCAUGAUCAAAGGGAUAUUCAAUGUCUGUUUUUUACCCAUCUAACAAUAGGUGCCAUUCUUUUGCGAGUCAUUGGAAAACGUCUCUAGUCUUUGUCGUUGAAGCUGUGCUUGAAAUUCACUGCUCAACUGAAGGACCUUACAGAUAAUUGUAUGUAUGGGGUACAGAGAUGGGGUAGUCAUUCAAAAAUCAUGUUAAACACCAUUAUUGCACACAGAAUUAGUCCAUACAACUUAUCUGACUUUUUAAAGGUUAAAGGACAUUUUUACUCAUGAAGUUAUUUAGGCUUGCCAUAACAAAGGGGUUGAAUACUUAUUGACACCAGACAUUUCAGCUUUUAGUCUUUUAUUAAUUUGUACAAAAUUCUAAAAACAGAAUUCCACUUUGACAUUGUGGGGCAUUGUGUGUAGAUCAGUGACACACAUCUACAUUUUAUCCAUUUUAAAUUCCAAGUUGUAAUACAACAAAAUGUGGAAAAAAUUAAAGGGGUGUGAAUACUUUCUGAAGGCACUGAUUCUUGAAGACGAAAUGCCUCAUGAGCUUAGUUCAACUGUCCCCAUCAGAACCCAAAAUAUAAGCUUGUUUUACAAACACUGCAUAGCCUCAAAACAUGGUUCAAACUAUAAUUUAGAAAAUAUCACGGAUGGUCAGUCCUUGCAUCCAUAGCUCUGUCUAUGAAUUUGAGAGCAGUUUACCGAAACAGCGGUUAUUGUUUGAACAGCAGAUUGCCCCUUUUAACCAAGCUCCAACCCUCCCCAUGUGCCUUUUUGUGUUCGUUCUUCAACUGUGAAUAAAUAUAAUUUUGGGAUUCUUA